UAUCGCGUCGUCCACCGUAUACCGUCGCCUCAUCUCCCUCUUCCCCUUCCUAGAUCGACGCCCCUUCCUCUCCCAAUCAGGAUCAACACAGGACGCCCUUGCAUCUCCGUCCAACCACACCGCAUCUCCUCCAACUCCUCCCUUUGCUUUCUUCUUCUACGAGAGCUUCUCUUCUUUCCUUUCCUCUUCUUUAUCGUCUUCUACUUCCGUCGAUCCGGCUGUGGCGACACCUGAUGGCGACCGAUCGAGCUCGUCUACCCGCGCAUGUGGUUGGCAUGGCUUUCGAGAAUCAGUAGUACCAGAUCCUUGCCAGUUCCCCUCAGCUUCUCUUCCGCUUCUCCAACGAGGGAAGCACGCUCAGCCGACUGGAUCAUCGGGGCGAAAUAAUUUCCAUCACCGGCAUGGAUGAUGGACUACAAGCAUAUUUAUGAGAAGGAACUAGUAAUCCACUACAUAAGCACAAAGAAACCACAUCCUCGAUGCCCAGUUGUAGGUUGCCCAAAAAUUCUCCAAGUUGGACGGGUUGUAUGCGACGCCUUGGUUACAAUAGAAAUUGAUGAAAUGUGUUUGGCAUCAGCUACAAACAUAAAUUCAACAAUGGUAGAAGAUUUUUACAGAAGUUGACUGAAAAUGGCAACACUGCUCCCUGCAACUGUAAGCUUGAUAUAAUUUUUCAAGGUGAUUUAGCCCCUGUCGGUGAUUUGUCAUCAACCAAUGCAAUUUAGGCAUCAUAGUUAAUUAUCUUUGGAUGUUGUAAGAAAAAUAUUUGUGUAAUUUGUGGAUACGGA